rfam:Candidatus Burkholderia pumila strain TZHbot3 BPMIctg208, whole genome shotgun sequence.
AGGCUAACCGGAUAAAAGGCGUUGCCGAACAGGGCGAGCGGGCAUGUAACCGCGAAGCUCUCGCGCUUAAGGGUCAGGCGGCGUAGAUGCGGCGGUUGUGCGAUGAAGGAGUGGGUU